rnacentral:rRNA from 1 species
AACGAACGCUGGCGGCAGGCCUAACACAUGCAAGUCGAGCGGACCCUUCGGGGUUAGCGGCGGACGGGUGAGUAACGCGUGGGAAUAUGCCCUUCUCUACGGAAUAGUCCUGGGAAACUGGGGGUAAUACCGUAUACGCCCUUUGGGGGAAAGAUUUAUCGGGGAAGGAUUAGCCCGCGUUGGAUUAGGUAGUUGGUGGGGUAAUGGCCUACCAAGCCGACCCAUAGCUGGUUUGAGAGGAUGAUCAGCCACACUGGGACUGAGACACGGCCCAGACUCCUACGGGAGGCAGCAGUGGGGAAUCUUAGACAAUGGGGGCAACCCUGAUCGAGCCAUGCCGCGUGAGUGAUGAAGGCCUUAGGGUUGUAAAGCUCUUUCAGCUGGGAAGAUAAUGACGGUACCAGCAGAAGAAGCCCCGGCUAACUCCGUG